rnacentral:rRNA from 1 species
GAUUCUGGCUCAGGAUGAACGCUGGCGGCGUGCUUAACACAUGCAAGUCGAACGAAGCAUUACUUACGAUCCCUUCGGGGUGACGAGUUAUGACUGAGUGGCGGACGGGUGAGUAACGCGUGGGUAACCUGCCUCAUACAGGGGGGAUAACAGUUGGAAACGACUGCUAAUACCGCAUAAGCGCACGGUACCGCAUGGUACAGUGUGAAAAACUCCGGUGGUAUGAGAUGGACCCGCGUCUGAUUAGCUAGUUGGUGAGGUAACGGCCCACCAAGGCGACGAUCAGUAGCCGACCUGAGAGGGUGACCGGCCACAUUGGGACUGAGACACGGCCCAAACUCCUACGGGAGGCAGCAGUGGGGAAUAUUGCACAAUGGGCGAAAGCCUGAUGCAGCCGACGCCGCGUGAGUGAGGAAGUAUUUCGGUAUGUAAAGCUCUAUCAGCAGGGAAGAAAAUGACGGUACCUGAGUAAGAAGCUCCGGCUAAAUACGUGCCAGCAGCAGC